UCCAUUCAUUGUGCCGGGGCGGGACCGACUAUUUCAGCGUCGCAAUUGUGAACCAGCCAAGCCAAAUAUAGUGGUAGACAGGUAUUUUUAGCCUUACAGCGUGUCCCCGUUUGCAUUCGACCGAGGUGAUACGGGAUACCGGCUUGAAAUGCCUCCAAAAUUGAGCUUGCGCUCCGUUUAACAGUCAUCUGAUUUGACGCUGCCACCACACUUCCCCCCCCCCCCCCCCCCCAAAAAAAAGAAAAAAAAGCAACUGGACAAAAGCGAACACCGCAGCUGUCGAGAGUUAAAUCUCGCCACUUCUAAGUCGCUCUGUCCGGGGACUCGGGGACCGGUGUUGGGGAAACGCGGCUCGGUUCGUUGCACGGCAGGUUUGGGAGCCGCGUACAGCCGCUGCAUUUAGCCGCUUCAUUGUGGUCGCUAAAACUGGGUUUCAAUCAAAGUGAUCAGAGCGGGAUACGACUGAACUUCACUGAAAAGAAUGUGACAUUCCCCCCUGUGUUGCUCACGGAAUCUACUGCUCGGCAGGAAAAUACCUGUCAUCGGUCACAAAGGCCACUGGACACGUGUCUCAGCGAGUGACGUCGCACGCACGUCUUACUCCAGCAACUUUAC